rnacentral:tmRNA from 1 species
UCGAUUUAGGAUUCGACGAGAUUCACGAAACCCUAGGUGCAUGUCGAGGGGCGGUUGGCCUCGUAAAAAGCCGCACUGUUAUAGUUGCAAACGACUCUAACUACUCUCUAGCAGCUUAGGCUAGCUAGCCAUCAUUUAGAACCCUGCCCGAGGGUCUCUAAUAUUGUAUGGUCAUUUAAUAUCGGGAUCGCGUGGACUCUUCGCUCGUAGAGAAAGCGCUAAACUCAAUCGAGCACGCUUUUGUUCGGCCUGUCACUCGGCUUAAUAAAAAGUUAAAUUAAUAGAGAUGACUAAACAUGUAGUACCGCGGAUGUAGGUUUUUCGGACGGGGGUUCAACUCCCCCCGACUCCACCAAACGCAACUUAGAACGGCACCCUCCUAAGUGUCGCAGCCCAUUGAAUGGUUUGAUUCAAUGGGCUUUUCUUUAUCCAA